AGUAGGCGAGAAGUUCCAGGAUGGCUUACUGCUUCCGCCCAGAUUUUUGAGUGCUUUUCCACGGCUACUCAUGAUACUCAUCUAUCCCAGGAGGCCACGCGAGAGGAUACGUCAAUAUCAACAUCGCGGAGAUAAGCGACGCGGGGGUUUUCAAAUGGACAGGAGAACACGCGUGUGUUUAUCCGGUGGAGAGAGGCUCAUGAUGCUGAAUGCUGUCAUCAAAGAAUAGGAACCGCUGUGUUGAGUCGGCAGUAGGGUUUGGGGUUCAGUGCCUGUAAAUACAUGCUUGUAGUUUGAAUAAAGCUGUUUCAUGUGUUGACUUGUA